UCUAUUGUGGCACCACAACUGAAUGAUGACAAGGUUACGGAGAGCAAUGGUGGGAAUGAAAUACUAGAGAAUAAGCUUUCGGUCCCUAGGGAGCCUCCUGAUAGGGCAAGUAUUUUGGAACCUAUCAUUGUUAACCCAAAGAUUGAAGUGCCUUUGGUGAUUAGUGAUUUGAUUGGCUCUACACUUGAAGGGUUAGAUAGAGGACAUUAUCCCGUUAGAUCCUCCGAAGGCACAGGAGGAGCCUACUUUAUGCUUGAUGCAGCAGGGAGUAAGUAUGUUUCAGUGUUUAAACCAAUUGAUGAGGAGCCUAUGGCUGUGAAUAACCCGCGAGGACUGCCUUUAUCAGUUAAUGGCGAGGGCUUGAAGAAAGGAACAAGAGUUGGAGAAGGUGCUUUGAGGGAAUGUGCUGCUUACCUUUUGGAUCAUCCAAAAAGUGGUAGGCGUUCAUUUUCUGGUGAGGCACUGGGCUUUGCUGGUGUUCCACCAACUCUCUUUGUGAGGUGUCUCCACAGUGGAUUCAAUCACCCAGAUGGUAUCACUCCUAAGAUUGGCUCCUUGCAAAAGUUCAUGGAGAACAAUGGAAGUUGUGAGGAUAUGGGUCCCAGUGCUUUUCCUGUAGGGGAAGUGCAUAAGAUUGCAGUGCUUGAUAUGAGGAUGGCAAAUGCAGAUAGGCAUGCAGGGAAUAUUUUAACGAGCAAAGGUGACGAUGGGCAGAUUGUCCUCAUUCCAAUUGAUCAUGGUUACUGCUUGCCUGACAGUGUAAGAUCUUUAUUUUCCUUUUCUGUUGGUGUAUGAUGUGAACAGUUGGGGGAUGCAAUUCUUCUUUACUGCAUUUCCUGUUACAUCUUGCUUAUAUUGGUUAUUAAAGUAGUUACAAUGUGAUGUUAAUUAUCUUUUGCAAUUUUGUUUUCUGCUCUAACAUGUGUGUCCAGCAACUGACUAUAUGAUUUUGAGUACGAAUUCUGAGGCAUGUUGUCUUAGUUUCAUUCAUUAUGGUCAAAUGUUGGUUGAGGGUAUAGACUGACUUCAAUAUCAAUGUAUCUCCAGUGGAAUAGUUUCCCCCGAUAUCUACGUACUUACAGCCUUUGAAAUGACAAAUACAAAUCCAAGGAUUUAAAGCAUAUCAUUUUCAUGUCAAAUCGCAGUAUGAUUUUAUUGGCCAGAACACACAUGAGAAAAUAGGUUAAUAGGGAGCGAUUGCAAUGAUGAUAACAUUUUCCCAGCUCAUUAUGAGACCUUAUCUUUUAAGGUCUGGGAAUAUACUCCAUUUCCAACACAUAUGUCUGAGCUUCGCCCCUAGAGUAAAAGAAGAAUCCCAAAAUAAGAAGAAAAAAACCAUCUAUGAGAAGCUGCGGUCUUUACAAAACUGACCACUUUUUUUUUACCUGCCCAUUUGAGAGGCCUGCUAUUAUCUGCACUAUAUGAGGCAUAAAACGCAUUUGAGGUCCAAGUAGUGUGCUCUUCUAGAAGAAGUUUUGGAGUACAGUUGAUAAAAAUGUCAUUGCUUUCUGCCUUGAUACGAGUAGUGAAAACUUCUGUGAAAUUUGAGGGUUUUGAAUGCUUGUUGUUAGGCUACAUUAUAUUCUCUCUCGCUCUCUCUUUAAUUCAGGAUUGACAAUAGAUGGAAAUCAAUUAGACUUCUCGGGAAAAUAUGUGUCUUUUGGUUCUGAUCAGUUGGUUUAUCUAUAUGCUAUUUCAGUUUGAAGAUGUAACUUUUGACUGGCUGUAUUGGCCACAAGCUCGUCAGCCUUUUAACUCCGAAACCAUUGAGUACAUAAAAUCACUUGAUGCGGAAGAGGACAUUGCCUUGUUGAAGUUUUACGGGUGGGACAUGCCUUUAGAAAGUGCCCGCACACUCCGCAUCUCUACUAUGCUUUUGAAGAAAGGUGCAGAGAGGGGCCUCACGGCAUUUACCAUAGGAAACAUCAUGUGCCGCGAGACCUUGAACAAGGAAUCUGUGAUUGAGGAGAUUGUUCAAGAAGCACUGGACUCUGUGCUUCCUGGCUCAAGUGAAGAUGCAUUCCUUGAGACCAUCUCACAUAUAAUGGAUCAACGCCUUGAUGAGAUUUCCUAUUGAUAUUUCAUUGAAGAAUUGGUAUAUAGGUGUACAUAGGAGAGUCUGCGGACACC
rnacentral:lncRNA from 1 species